ACGGAAGGUCCGGGCGUUAUCCGGAUUUAUUGGGUUUAAAGGGAGCGCAGGCGGACCUUUAAGUCAGCUGUGAAAUACGGCGGCUCAACCGUCGAACUGCAGUUGAUACUGGAGGUCUUGAGUGCACACAGGGAUGCUGGAAUUCAUGGUGUAGCGGUGAAAUGCUCAGAUAUCAUGAAGAACUCCGAUCGCGAAGGCAGGCAUCCGGGGUGCAACUGACGCUGAGGCUCGAAAGUGCGGGUAUCAAACAG
rnacentral:rRNA from 1 species